AGUGAACGCUGGCGGUAGGCCUAACACAUGCAAGUCGAACGGCAGCACAGUAAGAGCUUGCUCUUACGGGUGGCGAGUGGCGGACGGGUGAGGAAUACAUCGGAAUCUACUUUUUCGUGGGGGAUAACGUAGGGAAACAUACGCUAAUACCGCAUACGACCUACGGGUGAAAGCAGGGGAUCUUCGGACCUUGCGCGAUUGAAUGAGCCGAUGUCGGAUUAGCUAGUUGGCGGGGUAAAGGCCCACCAAGGCGACCAUCCGUAGCUGGUCUGAGAGGAUGAUCAGCCACACUGGAACUGAGACACGGUCCAGACUCCUACGGGAGGCAGCAGUGGGGAAUAUUGGACAAUGGGCGCAAGCCUGAUCCAGCCAUACCGCGUGGGUGAAGAAGGCCUUCGGGUUGUAAAGCCCUUUUGUUGGGAAAGAAAAGCAGCAGGUUAAUACCCCGCUGUUCUGACGGUACCCAAAGAAUAAGCACCGGCUAACUUCGUG
rnacentral:rRNA from 1 species